GACGAACGCUGGCGGCGUGCUUAACACAUGCAAGUCGAACGAUAAAGCCCAGCUUGCUGGGUGGAUUCGUGGCGCAAGGGUGUGUGUAACGCGUGAAUACUGCCCCCUUCACUGGGAUAUGAGCUGAAGACAGCGUCUCUUAUUGCAUAUAUCACCUCCCCCCAUGGUGUGCGGGUGGGAAGAUUUUGCGGUUGGGGAUGGGCUCGCGGCCUAUCAGCUUGUUGGUAGGGUUAUGGCUUACCAAGGCGUCGACGGGUAGCCGGCCUGAGAGGGUGACCGGCCACACUGGGACUGAGAUACGGCCCAGACUCCUACGGGAGGCAGCAGUGGGGAAUAUUGCACAAUGGGCGGAAGCCUGAUGCAGCAACGCCGCGUGCGGGAUGACGGCCUUCGGGUUGUAAACCGCUUUCGGCAGUGAAGAAGCGAAAGUGACGGUACUGGCAGAAGAAGCACCGGCUAACUACGUG
rnacentral:rRNA from 1 species